UUGAUUGAUUGAUUGAUUUGGUUGGUCUUUUUUCUAUUUCUGGAGUUUGGGUUUGUUGGCAGUGAGAAGCUCAAGCUCAGCCCUAAGUUUAGCCAAUAGCUAUUGCUUUUAGAGAGAGAGAGAGAGAGAGAGAGAGGCAGAGAGAGAGAGGGUCAGGGUAAGUUCUGAA